UUUGCUUCCCUUUUCUGUUAGAUAGGGUUUCUCUUCGUUUUCAAGAACAUAAAAACAUGUUCUUUUCAUCUGGCUAAUUAAUUUCUUCAAUAAUCUGUAAGUAUUAGUAGCAUUUUUGAUUCAUUGUUUAGUGUUGUAUUCAUAUGGGUUUCUUCCAUUUUUAUUCUUUGGUAAUGCAUCAAGCUUCUGUUUUUUUUUUUUUGUAUCUUCUUUUAACUAUUUAGCUUGUUUUUCGGGAUUUUUUUUUUAGCUUGUUGGAUCUUUGUUUGAUGUGCUAGUGCGUAAAAGGAAUAUUCUUUCUUUGAGUAAAAGCCUUGAUUUUUUCUUAUUAAGCAUGUUUAUGAAGGAAAGAUUGUGUCUUUAUUCAUCUGCCUAAUUUCCUCAAUAAUAUGUGAGUAUUACCAUUUUUUUUAACUUUUUGAUUCAUUCUUUAGUGUUUUAUUCAUCUGGGGUUCUUCCGUUUUUGUUCUUCUGUUAAUGAAUGAGCUUUUGUUCUUCCGUAUUCGUUUCUUCGUUUCUUUUUCUAUUCUGUUUAAUGUUUAUGCUUUAACUUAGGUGUUGUUAAAGAACCUAAAUUUUGGGGAAAAAUUGCGAUUGUGUGAAGUAUACCUUUUGUGUGUGUGUCACGUGUUGGGUUUGUUUUUAGGUAGUAAGCUAUGUGAUUAGUGAAGAGAAAGUAAAAAACUCCAAUACCAUUCGUGGUGUCUGUUGAGUUUCUGACUCGUGUCAAAACCAGUUUCGUGUUGAUUCACUUUUUGAUAAACAUGUUAAUUUACCUGUAAUCAAGUAUGUAUUAUUUUUGCACUUGUUUUAUUUUUGGUUUCUUAAAUAUAGUUUGGUUUCUCUAGAAUUUUUAGUUUCACUUUCUUUUUGUUGUUAAAAAAAAAAGGGUCUUAGACUCAACUUGUUUUCCUUUGGAUGGCAUUCUGAUAACAAAAAGUAGCUAAGUUUUUGUUUAUUUUAAUAUUAAAUAGGAUCAGGGAUAAUCUAGAGCGUGGUUGGAUGUAUGAUAGGUUGGAUGGUCAAGGGGGUAUUAAUUCUAGUUUCAUGGCUGGUGUUAAUAAGUUUCUUAAGUUCUCAUGUUCUCGGAGAAACCGCAUAAGUGGUGAUGAUAUUAGAUGUCCGUGUAAAAAAUGUCACAAUGUUAAAUUUAUGGAUGUUGAAACCGUUAAAUUGCACCUUCAAUCGUUUGGAUUUGUUGAGAACUAUAUUGUUUGGAAGUAUCACCUAAUGAGAGCAACGAAAUAGGCGAGGGUGCGUCUACUCGGAGAAACAUAAUAGGUGAAGGUACAUCUGCUCAGAGUGAUGCAAUGGGUGAAGGUGAGAGCAACUGUAACGUGAAGCGGACACUUAUUUUUCUUUCUCCUUCAGGGUUGGAACCAUCGAGAUUAUGUUCUGAGAUGAUAUAUGAGUCUUUCAAGAAUGAACUUGAGCCUAAGGGAGUUAACUGGAAAAAUGUCUCACAAGCGACAGAAGAUUUUUAUCUUAGAGAAUUCGAGAAGGCAUUCUAUUGGGAUUCUUCAAUUGAUAGUGAAGUGAGGAGGCAAUGGCGUAGAAAGGCGGCGAGAAAGUACUGUGAUCUCAUUUGCACGAUAAAAGGUGACAGGUUUUGCCCAGAUUAUGUUCCGAAAGAAACAUAGGAAAGUUGGAUGAAAUAUUGGCAAGAUCCCAAGGUUGUUGAAAAAUCGAAAAUAGCUUCAAAGAAUCGUCGUCGUGGUGAAAAUGCAGUUGCCAGUGGGACUCGCAUAGGCGGCUCUAUUUCCAUCGGAGAGCAUCACAAGAGACUUGUAAGUUAUGUGGAUUUGGCCUUUGCCUAACUAAAUUUCCAUCAUGAAGGUGAAUGCCACAUCAGUUGUAGUCUGUUUCUGAUGGUAAGUUCUUUUGGGAACUUCUCACGCUUGUCAUAGUCAUAGGCCUGCAGGAUCAUUCCAUCUCCGUAUACUGUGUUGUGCCAUUGUUGUGUCUGCAUAACAGUACCAAGAUCCAUGAUGCAUCUUUAGCUCCUCUGCUGCACAUAUUACCUCUGCUAAAAACCAGCAAAAAGGUGUUCCAUAGUCAACUCUGUCCCAUAACUGAUUCUCAUAGCUGUUAGAAAGGGUCGAGAUCCAACACCAAGUGAGGUACAUUUGCACGUCCCAUACACACGGUCAUGAUGGAAAAUCUUUUGUUAAUUAGCGAGCCCGAAUCGUGCAUUGGCAUAUAUUCUUGGAGAAUUAGGCUCUGUUAUUUCUGCAAGAUGAAGUGCAUGUGAAUUUCGAAUAUGACAUUGUAUCAUAUUGAGUCAAGCCCGUUGGACACAGGUACAUCGAGGCAAAUGGAGGAUCCGCGUAACAUAGGUUGUGGAUGCAUGUGAAUUUUUUGUUUUUUGAUGGGAAAAAUAUCAAGAAAUACUACAAAAUCAGACACAGACUCAAUCUGAAGUUGAUCAAUGUCAAGCCUAUUACGAAGCCGCAAGAGGGGUAAAGAAAAGAAGAAUAUAUGGUUUUGGAUCUCAAACACAAAUAUAUUACCGGUUGAAUCUUCGUCCCUCUUCUGCUUCUGAUGCUACAUCCUCAGUACCACCUCUGAAUGCUCAACUAGCAGUGACUGAAAAUUUGGAUGAGUUAGUGACGCGAUUAAUUCUUGCACUGACUGAUAGCAUCAUUCCUAUAAUUAUUGAGCGAGUACGUGGAUUGAGUCCUUCUGUCUCUUCUCAGACAGACACUCCUAGUUACCAUCCAUCAUCUAUGGCACCUAUAUUUCCAGCUCCAGCUACUUUCAACAUUGAUCAAGUUCAUGCAUCGAUUUCUGGUGAUGAUCGUGGCUCUCCAGUCUCUAAUUAGUUAGUUUUGUUGUUUGGACUUUAUGGUUGUUGCAUAUGAUUUUGGAUUUUUGGUUUUGGAUAUUAUCGUUGUGGAUGCUUUGAACUUGAUUUGCAUGCUGCUAUGUAUUUUGGACCCUGUAGAAUAUUAGUUUUUAUGAAUUAAGUUA